CCUGGCUUCCUUCAGUGAUGAACAGCAAUGCUGAAGUGUAAGCCUAAUAAACCCUUUCCUCCCCCACAGUGUUUCAUCACAGCAGUAGAAGCCCCAACUGUGAUGAGUCGGCACCAGGAUUGUGUGGUAUUGCUGUGACAGACCUGACCAGGUUGUUUUGGGGAGGUCUGUGGAAGGACUUGGGAACCUGGGCCUAGAAAAGUCAUUAUUGAGUGUUCAAUGUUGGGUGAGCUGUUCUGUAGGAGCUUGGAAUACAGACAAUGGAGGCCUGGCUCGUGAAGUCUCAGAGGGAAGUUUAAAGACUGUUGGUCCGUUUGUUGUUGUGAAUUAAGAUUCUGUCACUCUGGUUAGCCAGGACUGAAGAAUCGGCUGUGAUUAACAUGAUGUCAGGACUAUUAAAGGGAAACCUUUGCUUUGCUGGGACACUUGAUGCUGGUCGGUUGGAGCUGAGAAAUUAAGAGGCCAGCAUUGUUGAGGUGAAAUUUUCUGUGAAGCAUUUCCUGAGAGUCAACACACAGAAGCUGUGUUCCGGUGGCCAAGAUUGUACCUCGUGCUGGCAGCCAAACUUGGUAACGUGAGAGUCACCCAUGUGGUGCUGAUUUUGAAAUCCUGAAGGGGUCAUGGAGAGCAGCUGAGGCUAGGUGCUGUGAGAGGUCGGGAGAGGCCCUUGGUGAAGGUGCAGGCUCCGAGGCAGCUGAAGACCCAGGACUGAAGGGGUCACGCAGAGAAGCUGAGGCACCAUGAGGAGAGCCUAGCCUGUGGGAACCUAUUGGUGAUAGUGCAGCCCUCCCCGCCGAGCACUUUGGAGGUGCCGGUACCAUGGGAUGACCACCAAGAACAACAGCAGCCUUGGAAUGGAGUCAACUGGAGCUUAAAGGGAAGCUGUCCGCGCUGCAGAGGGGGGAGCCAGAGAAGUGACCCAUGCCCUUUGGAGGAGCCCAGGAGACGGGCUCUGGUAACAGACCAAAGGAAGAAAUGCACCCGAGUCUGCUGUGGUGAAUCAACGGGUUUACCAAAUACUUUGAAGAAAGUGGGUAGGGGCUUACACACUGGAGCAUAGGAGACUGAAAAGCCUAACCCAGCAUAGCUGAUGACUCACAAAGGCUGCACUCCGGGAGCUUCCAUCCUGCCCAACUUACAGAAAGCUGCACCGCAGAAUCUCCUUUUGCUGUUCCCUGAGAUUGUUUGCUGCUCGCAUGACCUUGGGGAAGGUCCUUGCAAGUGUGGAAACUUUCUUCGGCUUCCUUAUGUGUUUCCCUCACCACUCCAGGAGGUAAUGCAUCAAUUCAGAAGAAAUAGCUACACAACAGGACCUGACGGAAAGUGCCUAUAAUAGAAAGUGUCUCUUGGGGUGACUUGAAUCAGGAAAUCCAGACACAGUAAUAGCUGCGACUCUAACCUCGGCUGUUUCAAGAUAGGGACUCGAGCCGGGAUGACAUUCCUUCAUGCACUGACCUCAUUCCAGACAGUAAACGUCUGCCGAGUACCUGCUCUGUGCUGGUUGUAAUCAUACACAGGGCAUAAGACACCAGGUGUGACUGGGGGCACAGGUCUAUAAUUGAAAAUAUUCAGGAGACUAAGGCAGGAGAAUCUCAAGCUCACGGCCUACUUAGGCACAGAAUACAUUCAAGGACAGACUCAAACUCUAUUACAGUGUAAGCUGAAGUUAAAUGCUUGCUUUUACAAGUUGCCUUGGUUGUGGCGUCUACUACAGCAAUAGAAAAGUGGCCAAGACACCCACUAUCACAGAGUUUUCAUUUUAAAAUGUAAAAGCACGUUUUGGGUUUAUUUACUGUGUGUGUAUGACUAUUGUACCUGCAUGAUGUAUGUGUACCACGGACAUGCCUGAUGCCCAUGGAGGACAGACGGAAACACAGGAUCCCUGGAGCUGGGGUUACAGGUGAUGCAGAUGCUCUGAGCCAGUCGCCGGCGUUUUACCACAGUGUGUCUUUGAAAAGGAGCUGAGCUGAUCAUGAGAAGGAAGUUAAGAGAGUCCACACUCUGGGAACGACCUCUAGUUCUCCACUGGCCACAGAAAGAGUCCUGAUCUCUCCCGCCCCUGCUCCAGGUGUAGCCGCCCUUGAUUCCUGGUCUCCCAUGAAGGGGCAGCGAGUGGUCACUGCCCCAGCUUUGCUUCACGGCGACUGACCCCAGUUGUGGCCUGAAAAGCUGGCCCAGCAAACUGCUAAGAAAACUACUGUUUGGAUUCUGGUUUACCGUUGUCGUUUGUGUGGAAGCGCAGUGUAGGCACUGUGGGAAAUCUGCUUUGGGGCGGGCAAGACAGCUCAGGGGUUAAAGCACUUGCUGGCAAGGAUGAUGACUUGAGUUCAAAUCCCCAGGACCCACAUUAUGGAAGGGAAAGUGGACUCCCUGUAAGCUUUCCUCUGACCUCCUCCAUACCCUGUGUGUGCACACUCACACACACCCAACAUGUACAUACACACACAUAAAUAAAUAAAUGCAAUAUUAAAAAUUUUAAGGAUAUUUUCCCAUUGUUGGAAAUGACUGAUAC